rnacentral:rRNA from 1 species
CCCUUAGAGUUUGAUCCUGGCUCAGAAUCAACGCUGGCGGCGUGCCUAACACAUGCAAGUCGAACGCGAAAGCCCCGAAAGGGGCAAGUAGAGUGGCAAACGGGUGAGUAACGCGUGGGUGACCUGCCUUCGAGCGGGGGAUAACGUUCCGAAAGGGACGCUAAUACCGCAUAACAUCCUGCCCUUGAAUGGGUGGAGAUCAAAGCUGGGGAUUCGCAAGAACCCGGCACUUGAAGAGGGGCCCGCGUCUGAUUAGCUAGUUGGUGGGGUAACGGCUCACCAAGGCAACGAUCAGUAUCCGGCCUGAGAGGGCGGACGGACACACUGGGACUGAGACACGGCCCAGACUCCUACGGGAGGCAGCAGUGGGGAAUUGUUCGCAAUGGGCGCAAGCCUGACGACGCAACGCCGCGUGGAGGAUGAAGAUUUUCGGAUCGUAAACUCCUGUCGAAUGGGACGAAAAAGUUGCGGGUUAACAGCCUGCGAUUCUGACGGUACCGUUAAAGGAAACCCCGGCUAACUCCGUGCCAGCAGCCGCGGUAAUACGAGGGGGGUAAGCGUUGUUCGGAAUUACUGGGCGUAAAGGGCUCGUAGGCGGCCAACUAAGUCGGACGUGAAAUCCCUCAGCUUAACUGGGGAACUGCGUCCGAUACUGGAUGGCUUGGAUUUGGGAGAGGGAUGCGGAAUUCCAGGUGUAGCGGUGAAAUGCGUAGAUAUCUGGAGGAACACCGGUGGCGAGGCGGCAUCCUGGACCAAUAUUGACGCUGAGGAGCGAAAGCUAGGGAG